CAGUGCCCCGAAGCAAGGACGCCCUUUGUGUUGAACAACAAGACUGAUGCGUGAGAGAGCAACUUGCCGCCAAGCACCUCCACGUCGAAGAGACGCUGCCGGGAAAACACGGUGCCGGAUUUGAAAAAUUCCAGGCCGCUGAUUGGAAGCGGCGUUUCUCCUCGUUUUUCUUCAAGGUGGCCACACUGGUGCAACCCACACUCGCGACAGCGAGCAUUGUCCGAUGCGGCCGUGCGAUACGCCCGCAAAUCCCUGCUUUCGGCACCUUGUCGUUCAAACGGCGCUCUGUCUCUCUCGCGCCCCGGUGGGGCACGCCGCGGGUGCGAGUGAGACAGACGGCCCGAUCAAGUCGGCGGCUCGGCUUCCCACGGACUGCACUGCGCUGCGCAUGCGCGAUGCGGGUGCCGAUACCGCCGGCCGGAAGACGGAUCCUAGUCUUCGCGACCGCGCAACCACCGCUGCCGCCCGAAAAAAAUCUCAACAAUUAGCACCUCCAAAGGCUGCGGCGAGAGCUUCCUGGUUUCUGGUGACCCUCCAAGUGGUCGGUGGGAAACAAACGAAUACUUGCU